GGCCAGACUCCUACGGGAGGCAGCAGUGAGGAAUAUUGGUCAAUGGGCGGGAGCCUGAACCAGCCAAGCCGCGUGAGGGAAGAAGGUACAGCGUAUCGUAAACCUCUUUUGUCAGGGAACAAAGGCGGGGACUAGUCCCCGGAUGAGGGUACCUGAAGAAAAAGCAUCGGCUAACUCCGUGCCAGCAGCCGCGGUAAUACGGAGGAUGCGAGCGUUAUCCGGAUUUAUUGGGUUUAAAGGGUGCGCAGGCGGAAGAUCAAUUCAGCGUUAAAAUUGGGAGGCUCACCCUCUUCGAGCCGUUGAAACUGGUUUUCUUGAGUGAGCGAGAAGUAUGCGGAAUGCGUGGUGUAGCGGUGAAAUGCAUAGAUAUCGCGCAGAACUCCGAUUGCGAGGGCAGCAUGCCGGCUCCACACUGACGCUGAGGCACGAAAGCGUGGGUAUCGAACAGGAUUAGAUACCCCAGUAC
rnacentral:rRNA from 1 species